rnacentral:lncRNA from 1 species
UUCUCGGGCUUCUCAUCAGCUUAUUGGCCCAUUUACAGGGUCCCUGGGAGCCCCUUGACAGCGACUGACGGCACCUAGAGAGCUGGCGCACCUCCUGGGCCUGACGCGGGCUUCCUGGAUUGCAUAAAGGCUCCUUCUCCUUACAUAGCCAGGGCAAAGGUGCAUGACAACUCUGAGCAAGUCAAAACAACCGUCAGCAGCGGGAAACCUCGAUGAACAAACACCGGGAGAGUGCAUUCCCAGGGGAGUUCCAGGAGGCCCAUGGCCCCUCCUGUACAGCCCUCCACCGCCCAGAGCCUUCCAGCGCCGUGUCUUCCCCUUGGAGCAUCUGGAGGCCCCAGACAGCACCCGCCUGACGUUCAGCAGAGGGGGAGACCGAGGCCUGCAGCAGAGUGUUUUGUCAGAUGCUGCUCCCUGACCGGGAGUGAGAGGGAACCCACCUAGAGUUUCUGCAGAUCCUGCUUUGUGACUUCGAGUGAAGUGUGGAAGCGCUGGAAGCACUUAGACCCUGCCUGUGAGUUGUCAUGUAUCAUGUCUGCAAACAUUAAAAAUCUCACCAGGGCUUUUCCUGGGUGGCUGUGGGUGCGUCCCGAAGCCAGUGUUGUCUCUGUAGGGUGCUCUCUGCCCCUCCCCAAGUACCAUGAAGUGAGAGAGCAGCGAGCGGGCCAGGUGCCGCAGACCCCUGGGAGGCACCAACACCCCGGAUCGAGAAGCCCGAUGGGAAAGAAUGUCUGGGAAGGACGUCAUGCCCGAGGCUUGCGUGACAGUUUCCACUCACAGUGCGCUCACUCUGAACCUCUGUGCACACGAUGGGCCUGCAUCUCUUCCCACUAUCUGCUAGGAAACACGAGGAAUCAUGGGAUUUGCCGCAGUUUGCACCCAGGCCUGUGCGGAUGCCCCCCGACUGCCCGAGAUGCUGCACCUGCCACUGCUGGGGGUGUACCUGCCUAUGCCCACUCACAGGGGCACCUCCAGGGUAGCUGCCUGGUGCAGGCAUUGGCUCUAAGCAGAGCAGCACUAUGGGCCCAUCUGGGGCUGGCUCUUGCCUGGGCCUGUGAGCACCAUCACAGCCAGCCGAUCUGGGAGUAUCCAGGGUGUUCUUGUCAUUGCGGACACUGAAUAGCCAUUGGUGGGUGGCGAUGGGGGCUUGGAAGCCGAGCAUCAGUGGCAAUGAGAAGCAGGCCCUGUGGUUUAAUUCCGAAGCACAUGAACCCACAGAGCCGCCAACAGUCGUUAUUCGGCAGGAGGGGGUACAGAGACAGCAGCCUGCGGAGCGUUCUAGGCAGGACAGGGCAGCAAACCUGACAUGCGGAGCUGGGGGCAGGGGUAAUGGGGCCAGGGGGUAAUGGCAGGUGAGGCCAUGGCCUAGAGGGUUGCCAUGCUUGGUGCAGGGGAGGAGAGGCCCAGGUGUGGCUGCAGUGGCAGCAGGAGUCAGUGUGGCUGUGCCCAGUGGGAUGUUGUCAGAGAAUGGACCUGGCUGCUGGGAAAGGUGAUUGUGUUUGUCUGAGCCACACUGGACUCUUCUCUGACCAGCAAGCACAUUCUGGAGAUGCGGGGCAGAGACGAGGCCUCCGUGAGAACCUUUGAGGUGUGAGGGCCUUGAUCUGGGGUGCAGCCUCCAGCUUUCUGCUUACAGAGCAGGACCUGCAGGAGCUCGCUGACUGCCUGCACAGUGGAAGGAAGACCUGUUUCUUUUACUUUCCUUGAGGAGAAAAAAUUAAAGUUCUGAGCAAACGCUGUGGCUCUGACGAUGAUGGUGAGGUGGUGGAGACGCCCUCACAGCUGGGCCACCCUCCCGUCGGGAGACACGUUUUGUCAGUUGCUUCCUCUGGAGUCCUCUGACACGCGCCACCAGGCUCCGCGCUCAUGGCCUGGCCUGGCAUCUCACCAGGCUUUUCAAUGGACUAGAGUGCGGGGCUGCUCUGCCUGUGGCAAGGGUUGUCCUGCUGCUGGGCACAGGCCCAGAGAGGAAGUGGCAGAAGCUGGGCAUGGGAUGCUGGUCCUUGAAGGAGUGUGUGGGGGCCACUGGGUUGAACGCAGCCCGCUGCAGCCCUGUGACCUUGGUUAAAAGACUACUUUUUAGAGCAGUUUUCAUUUUACCGAUACAUCGAUCAGAGAGUACGGAGCUUCCCACAUUGCCUCCCGCACCCCAUAGCAGGCAGAGGCACCAGCCAGGCGCCAUCCUUUACAAGCUGUUUCAGCAAAAUGUCCCUGGGUCUUAAUGAUUAAGUCCAGGCACUCCAAGGACGAUUAAAUAUUUAAACAGCAGCUUCCCUUUGAAGGGAAGGAAAUGACCGCAGAAGGGAGUGCACCGUGGGGGCAGGAGGUGCUGCGGCCAAUGGGCAGUGCUGGGAGAUGAAACCAACAGCGGCGAUUGCCCCAGAAAGAACUUGGCGCUGCUAAGGCAAUGGCGGCCCGAAAGAGGCCCCUGACGCAUGAGGAGCGGCCGUGUGAGUGUCGGCUCCUGCAUAGAACCCUGCCUGACUUCCCAGGAAGAGGGUGCUGCCUCCUGGGGACUCUCAGCCAGGAGGAGGCCAUGAGAACCGUCAAGAAGUUCAUGGACUCAGGAGGACGUCGUGAGCAGUGCUGAGGUCAUGGAAUGUGGGCUGGGACCUUGUGUUUGGUGACAUCCGGAGGACUUGGACGCAGGGUCUUCUCUGCUCCCCGUCACACAGAGGGUGGCACACCCGAUGGGAACUCUCAUUUAUCACCAAACCAAAAGAUGGAGAAACUGACAGAGAAGGGCUGCAAGCAGCUACGGCAGGGCGGUGUGUGGAAGCAGAUGGGAUGGGCAGAUGGAGGC